CGUAUAUUAACGUUGUUGCAGUUAAAAAGCUCGUAGUUGGAUUUGUGGCAAUGCUCGUGGUCCAAUUUUUUGGUACUAUCGGGUGUAGCCAUCUUUGGGUGGAACCUGUGUGGCAUUAGGUUGUCGUGCAGGGGAUGCCCAUCGUUUACUGUGAGAAAAUUAGAGUGUUCAAAGCAGGCUUAUGCCGUUGAAUAUGUUAGCAUGGAAUAAUAAGAUAGGACCUUGGUACUAUUUUGUUGGUUUGCGCACCGAGGUAAUGAUUAAUAGGGACAGUUGGGGG
rnacentral:rRNA from 1 species